CUGGGCGGAGGGGGAGACCUCCACCUCCCUGGUGGGUCCCGCUGGCCUGAGAGCGCAGACAGGACUCGGGGAGGGGGAGGGGUCAGUUCUACACCCCUGGGAGCCUUGACUCCCAGCCCAGAGUGCCCACCAGCGACCUUGUUCUUCCUGCAGAAAAGCGAGCCGUUCAGGACUCUCUGUCCGCCUGCAGCCCCCGCCUUCCCCGGUACCUCCGCCGAGAGCCAAGAGGCGUCCAGAGGGGGGCCCAGGCGCACGGUCCCCAGGGAGGGGCCCCGCCCUCAGGUGGGUGCCGAGGUGGCCGCCCACAGAGCAGCAGGCCCAGGCUUCCACAGGGUCAAGCGGUCUCAAGCCGGCGGCUCUCCCUGGUGGAUUCCUGCAGGUGAGUUCACUCUGAGAGCUCAGCCAGGGCCAGCAGGCCUGUCUCUCCCGGAGCCAGGGGCCAGGCCGGGUCAGCUGGAUGCCCGGGGCUCUGGUGACACAGCCCUGCGGCUGAGUGCACACGCUCACACACAUCUGUCCAACCUCACUGGCUUUCCCUUUGGAUUUGCUAAUGCAGCAAGAUUAAUCAGGUCUAACUCAUUAAUUUGCACAGCCCCUCCCUCCCACCUGCGCCCGCUGGAGAGCGCUGGUUGUGGGAACCCAGUAAUCACCGAGGCUGAAUUAGAUUCCUACUGCACAUCCUGGCCCUUGCCUCUGCUGCUCCUGAAAUUGCUGCUUCAAAGGAAACAAAAACUCUGGAUUCAAAGUCCAGUGAGACCAGAUUUGGGGGCACAGCUCUUCUGUGGCCUGAGCCGCCCUAGGGGGCUUGCGGGUAGGUUGGGGGACACUACCAGGCCCUUGCAGACACCAGCCCCGCCUCCCCACC